AUUUUCUCUUGAUCAUAGGCAAGUUGUCCUACCCUUUCCUAGAAGGGAAAAAUCACCUGGAGAGAAGAGAAGAGGAGGGGGGUGGGGAGGGGAAGGAAGAAAAUGACACCUGUGGCUUACAGUUGUGGGACUUGGAGACGAUCAGCUGAAAGGAAGGAAAGGAAUGAGGCUCAACAGACACCACCUAGUGGGCAAACAACUGGCUUACACUCAGGCAGCAACUGGCCAGCCCAGGUGGGACGCCUACCACAGCAUGGCUGCCAAGCGGUGCCGUGUCCACACCCAGGAUCCGAACCAGCGAACCCCAGGCCACCAAAGCGGAACAUGCAC
rnacentral:lncRNA from 1 species